GCGUUGGUGGUUUAGUGGUAAAAUCCGUCGUUGCCAUCCGAAGCAAUUCGGGAUGAUUCGACGGGCCCCGGGUUCGAUUCCCGGCCGACGCA
rnacentral:tRNA from 1 species